GACGAACGCUGGCGGCGUGCUUAACACAUGCAAGUCGAACGGCAAGGCACUGCUUUCGUGGGCUGACCGAGUGGCGAACGCGUGAGUAACACGUAUGUAACCUGACCUUGAUUUUCGGAUAACUUCAGGAAACUGAGGUUACUCCCGGAUAGCAGAUCCUGCUGCAUGGUGGGGGUUGGAACGUCUCGGCGGUCGGGGAUGGACGCGCGGAUUAUCAGCUUGUUGGUGGGGUAGUGGCUUACCAAGGAUUUGACGGGUAGCCGGCCUGGGUGGGUGACCGGCGACAUGGGUACUGAGGUACGGCGCAGUGUCCAACGGGAGGCAGCAGGGGGGAGUAUGGCACAGUGGGCGGGAGCCGGAUGAAGCAGCGUCGCGUGCGGGAUGACGGCCUGCUGGUAGAGAACCGCUGUCGCCUGUUACGAAGCUUUUGUGACGGUAAUGAGUAAAGAAGCACCGGCUAACUACGUG
rnacentral:rRNA from 1 species